rnacentral:lncRNA from 1 species
UUUUUUAAUUGAAGUAGGUUAACUUUGUAUACCAAAACUUUUAGAUAAAAUUAACCCUCAUAUUUUAGUUGUAAUAUAUUUAGUAAUAGGGAUAGUUUUAUAAUUUCCAUUUCAAAAUGAAUUCACACCCUACUUCUUUCUUCUUCACUAUUAACCUACUUAUCCUAAAACAUCAAAAAUCCAUCCAAUAUCAGAACUAACCCGUAAUUGCCAACUCAGGAACGCCACGCUAUUGCCUUAGUUCAAUUCUCGCUGGUAGUAGUACAGACCAGCGUAAUGAAGCCAACAUGAAUUAAAGAGAGGGACAAAUUAGGCAAUACAACUGGACACAUGGCACAUGACAUUGGUACUCAAAAAUUGAGGAGAAGCAAAAGGAAAAAAUAACCAAUUCCCAACUGAAUGAUUACGUGUGUGGCUGAAGGGAAUAUUAGGCAUGUUGUGUGCGUAAGAGAGAGUGUGGAAUCAUUCUUCUCUCUCUAACCUCUGCUCUCUCUCUUCUAUAAAUUCUUCUACUUUGUUUUCUUUUCUGUCAUAUGUUUACCUUCCCUUCAUUGUAAGAAAUUUCAUAUAUUUAAAUCAAACAAUCAUUACUUGACAAUAUUUACAGUGUUGUCUUUUCUAGUUUGUUAAGAAACUAUUCUUAUUGCAUUAUUGUUCCUUACAUUUGGUGCUUUUAUGGACCUUACAUUUAACUUGUAUUUUAGGACAUAAUUAGGACUUUAGGAUUGCUUUUAGCUUUUAUUUCUCUUUGUUCACGUUCAGCGGGUGUUUUUUGCUAUAUUGUGCAGUUUGGAUGGAUUACAGCAAAAAAGAGUAGAGAUUGAGUGCAAGAUGAUGAAAUUUAGUGUUAGGCUAUGCGAAGAUCAAAUGAAUGGUCAAAAGAAGUCAUAGAUGUUAUAUUAUAUUCCUAUUUUUUUAGAUUUUUUUGUGGGGCUUAGCCCAAUAUUGUGUAAUUAGGAUAAAUAAUGGUUCUCCCUCAAGGAUAAAAACUUUUUAAACUUUAC